GCUCCCCCUCGUCCUCAGUGCGGGCCGAGCAUCUCGAGGCAGCCCGUGAAGGCGUUUCAGCAAGUUGUCGGCAUGUCCCUGGCUCGUUAGGGUAACACGAUUCCGUUGUGAGAACGCUGCGUUCAGACUUAGUAAUUCAGACUUGCUGGCUCCCAGUUGUCCUGAGUUCUCGCAUCAAUCGUUGGGCAUUUUUGAGAACCCACCGGUAGCAAGGCGCUCCUACUGCGGAGGGACAAACUGGCAAGAAAAACCCAGAACAAACCCUGCCCCGCAAUCCCCCUCCAGAACAGAACCCGCAGUGCGUGGCCUCGUGUGGCUAAAAGUUUGGUGGCAUCAAAGAACCACACAGCAGUGCAGACUCCCAGUGGGAGAUGCCCGGACGAAGGCCGCAUGGUGUUCUGAGAGCCUCGGAGAGGAACCUGCCCAGGAGAUGCUGUUUGGUCGCAUGGAACUGUGAGUUCUCAGCCGUGGAAGGAGGGAAAUUCCUUUCAACACUAGCCCCGAGGAAUUCUCGUGAUCCUGGUUCCAUUCUGGUCAAAAUGAAGAUGAAAGGACUCGACCCAGCGUGGAGAGGAACUCUGCCAGGAGAAGGUGACAGCGGUGCUGGCCUGAGAAUCUGCCCAUCAGAAGGGGAGCCCUUCCUAGAAAGUCUCUAAGAAGCGAAAGAGACCUUUGGCCUGAGAAAGGUCAGAAUGAUCAAGGGAGAGACAGUAUGCUGGCGUGCAAAGAUUUAGUUAACAUUUUUAAAGUAGAUUUUAUAGACUUAGUAGCAACAAUUAUAUAGAUUUGUUCGGGGUAAAUUUUGUAGGCUUUGUAGCUAAAUAACUAUGGGAUUGUGGGGGAUGUUAUUAAGAACUUCAAGCCUCAGUUUUCUAGUCUCUCAAUGGGGAGAAUAGUAUCUCUCAGCCAAAUAGCUGUGUUGGUGAGAGGCGAUACUGUACUAAUAUUUGUAGUAAAUAACAAAUGGAAAAUAGUAGUUUGUAAGUUAACGAGAUACUAGAUUUUGUGGAUGGAAACAAUAUCUUUUUUAUUUCAUGCCAUUUUCUGUACAAUUCCUGAUAAUGAUAGUUGUCUGUGGAGAAAGUAGAAUCAAAUAGAACCAUUGUGAGAUGUUUUGAUAUGACCUAAAAUGUCAGAGAGAGCCAAAUACGUCCUGGGGAAAACUAAGUUUCUCAUUUUUAUUUUCUCUGAAACACAAUUUCUUGAAAGACAAAGAAUUUGGCAAAGAUGUAUUGUGAGUGGUAAUUCAUAUACUAAUGGAAAUUAUCCUUUGCCUAUUUCAAUAAUUGACCUACUGUGUAGUUGUCAAAAUGGUAGGGUAUAUAUGAUAGGCAAAAAGAUUCCAAUGGGCUUAAUCAGAGAAUGUCAAAUUUAUAAAAAAGCAAAAGAUUCAGAAACUUCUGGAAUCAGUUAUAGAAAGGAAGAAGUAACUGUUUUGAAGACUGGAUCCCUGGACUUCUGCCCACCAGGUGCAGUUUCACUUGCAAACCCCUGUACCUUCUGAGAUGAUUGGACGUCUCCCAGCAAGCCCAAACUUCUUGAUUUGUAAGAAUUACAAACUUUUUAAUUUGUAAAAAUUCUUGUUAACCGUGUAAGCUCAUU